UGGGGAAUUUUGGACAAUGGGCGAAAGCCUGAUCCAGCAAUGCCGCGUGUGUGAAGAAGGCCUUCGGGUUGUAAAGCACUUUUGUCCGGAAAGAAAUGGCUCUGGUUAAUACCUGGGGUCGAUGACGGUACCGGAAGAAUAAGGACCGGCUAACUACGUGCCAGCAGCCGCGGUAAUACGUAGGGUCCAAGCGUUAAUCGGAAUUACUGGGCGUAAAGCGUGCGCAGGCGGUUGUGCAAGACCGAUGUGAAAUCCCCGAGCUUAACUUGGGAAUUGCAUUGGUGACUGCACGGCUAGAGUGUGUCAGAGGGGGGUAGAAUUCCACGUGUAGCAGUGAAAUGCGUAGAGAUGUGGAGGAAUACCGAUGGCGAAGGCAGCCCCCUGGGAUAACACUGACGCUCAUGCACGAAAGCGUGGGGAGCAAACAGGAUUAGAUACCCUGGUAGUCCACGCCCUAAACGAUGUGCAACUAGGUUGUUGGGGGAUUCAUUUCCUUAGUACGUAGCUAACGCGUGAAGUUGACCGCCUGGGGAGUACGGUCGCAAGA
rnacentral:rRNA from 1 species